UCUCCUGUAGCUCAGUGGUAGAGCGUCCGACGGUGUGCGGAAGGUCAUAGGUUCGACUCGGUUGGGGGAA